GAUGAACGCUGGCGGCGUGCCUAACACAUGCAAGUCGAACGGAGUCGUUUUGGAAAUCUCUUCUGAGAUGGACUUCUCGACUUAUUUGCGGACGGUUGAUUAACGCGUGAGCAAUCUGCCUUUAUGAGGGGGAUAACAGUCUGAUACGGCUUCUAAUACCGCAUAAUGCAUUACAUUCGCAUGUUUUUGAUGCCAAAUGAGCAAUCCGCUUUUAGAUGAGCUCGCGUCUGAUUAGCUAUUUGGCGGGGUAACGGCCCACCAAGGCGACGAUCAGUAGCCGGACUGAGAGGAUGAACGGACACAGGGGGACGGAGACACGGCAGAGACUCCUACGGGAGGAAGCAGUGGGGAAUAUUGCGAAAAGGGGGAAACACUGAAGAAGAAACGCCGCGUGAUGGAAGAAGGCAUUAGGGGUGUAAAGAUCUUUAAUAAGGGACGAAAAAAAUGACGGUACCUGAAGAAUAAGCACCGGCUAACUACGUG
rnacentral:rRNA from 1 species